UAUCAGGGAUUCCUGUCAUGGGCUGAAGCUGUGUUCCUGCUUCUCCUCUGGGAUUAUCAGCCUUGACUAUGCUGGAAUUCCUUGUACUCUGGCCAGCCACACUUUUGUUCCCUACAAGAAGAGGAACUGAAGUGAAAGUCCCAUAGCUGGUUGCUAAAUUCUUAACUCCAUGCAGUAGAGUUCUCUGGCCUCUCCUUCCACCCAGUGUCCCUAUUGGUUUUCCAAGCAUAUAUAUUUUUUCAGCCCCUUUCUGUUAGCUUAGAAAGCUUGACCCAGUAAUGGACCUUUAGGACCAGAUGUUAUAGGGGGCAGCAGCAUAGAUUCCCAGAAAGAUUCUGAGCACACUGACCCCUUGGCUUUUCUCAGACCACUGGCAAGCAACAGGUCCCUUUAGUAAUCUUAGGCUGUAUGUGGGGGACUUCAACUCUUGGGUGUCUGAGAUAAAAAUUUUCUUUUCUUAAGAUCUACAACUCUUGAAAAAGAAGUUCCUGUCAUCUUCAUCCACCCUUUAAACACUGGAUUAUUCCGGAUAAAAAUUCAAGGAGCCACUGGAAAAUUUAACAUGGUCAUCCCUCUUGUGGAUGGGAUGAUUGUCAGCAGGCGAGCUCUUGGCUUUCUGGUGAGGCAGACUGUAAUUAACAUCUGUAGAAGAAAGAGACUGGAAAGUGACUCCUACAGUCCCCCGCAUGUCCGCCGGAAACAGAAAAUCACCGACAUUGUCAACAAGUACCGGAACAAGCAGUUGGAACCAGAGUUUUAUACUUCACUUUUCCAGGAGGACCAAGCAGCACACUGCAGUAGUUUAUGAAGGAUUCUAAUAUGGGGUUCAGGAAUAGCCUCUCAACGCUACUAAUUCAGAUCUCUCCCAGAGAACUACUGGAUUUCCUCAUAAUUGACAA
rnacentral:sRNA from 1 species